rnacentral:rRNA from 1 species
CCUACGGGGUGCAGCAGUGAGGAAUAUUGGUCAAUGGACGAGAGUCUGAACCAGCCAAGUAGCGUGAAGGAUGACUGCCCUAUGGGUUGUAAACUUCUUUUAUAUGGGAAUAAAAUGUUCCACGUGUGGGAUUUUGUAUGUACCAUAUGAAUAAGGAUCGGCUAACUCCGUGUCAGCAGCCGCGGUAAUACGGAGGAUCCGGGCGUUAUCCGGAUUUGUUGGGUUUAAAGGGAGCGUAGGUGGAUUGUUAAGUCAGUUGUGAAAGUUUGCGGCUCAACCGUAAAAUUGCAGUUGAAACUGGCAGUCUUGAGUACAGUAGAGGUGGGCGGAAUUCGUGGUGUAGCGGUGAAAUGCUUAGAUAUCACGAAGAACUCCGAUUGCGAAGGCAGCUCACUGGACUGCAACUGACACUGAGGCUCGAAAGUGUGGGUAUCAAACAGGAUUAGAUACCCCUGUAGUC